rnacentral:rRNA from 1 species
UACGGAGGAUGCGAGCGUUAUCCGGAUUUAUUGGGUUUAAAGGGUGCGCAGGCGGCACGGCAAGCCGGCGGUCAAAUCGCGGGGCUCAACCCCGCCCAGCCGUCGGAACUGCCGGGCUAGAGUGGGCGAGAAGUGCGCGGAGUGCGUGGUGUAGCGGUGAAAUGCAUAGAUAUCACGCAGAACUCCGAUUGCGAAGGCAGCGCACCGGCGCCCUACUGACGCUCAGGCACGAAAGCGUGGGUAUCGAACAGG